rnacentral:rRNA from 1 species
GAUGAACGCUGGCGGCGUGCCUAAUACAUGCAAGUCGAGCGAACAGACGAGGAGCUUGCUCCUCUGACGUUAGCGGCGGACGGGUGAGUAACACGUGGAUAACCUACCUAUAAGACUGGGAUAACUUCGGGAAACCGGAGCUAAUACCGGAUAAUAUAUUGAACCGCAUGGUUCAAUAGUGAAAGACGGUUUUGCUGUCACUUAUAGAUGGAUCCGCGCCGCAUUAGCUAGUUGGUAAGGUAACGGCUUACCAAGGCAACGAUGCGUAGCCGACCUGAGAGGGUGAGCGGCCACACUGGAACUGAGACACGGUCCAGACUCCUACGGGAGGCAGCAGUAGGGAAUCUUCCGCAAUGGCGAAAGCCUGACGGAGCAACGCCGCGUGAGUGAUGAAGGUCUUCGGAUCGUAAAACUCUGUUAUUAGGGAAGAACAAAUGUGUAAGUAACUAUGCACGUCUUGACGGUACCUAAUCAGAAAGCCACGGCUAACUACGUG